GAGUCCUCUCUCUUUUUUACUUGAUAAGUCUGGCUAAGAGUUUAUCAAUUUUACAGAUCUUUUCAAAGAACCAGCUUUUCGUUUGACUGAUCUUUUCUGUGGUUUUCUUCAUUUCUAUUUCAUUGAUUUCUGCUCUGAUCUGUAUGAUUUCUUUCCUUCUACUAACUUUAGGUCUUAUCUGUUCUUCUCUCUCUAGCUGCUUUAGAUGUAAAGUUAGGUUGUUUAUUUGAGUUUUUUCUUGUUUCCUGAGGGGGGCUUGUAUUGCCAUAAACCUUCCUCUUAGAAGGGCUUUUGCUCCAUCCCAUAGGUUUUGGAGUGUCGUAUCUUUGUUGUUUUUUGCUUCUAUGUAUUUGUUAAUUUCCUCUUUGAUUUCUUCAGUGAUCCACUGGUUGUUUAGUAGCAGGCUGUUGAGUCUCCACAUGUUUGUGUCUUUUGCAGUUUUUUUUGUUGUUGAUUUCUAGUUAUAUAGCUCUGUGGUCGGAAAAUAUGCUUGAUAUGAUUUCAAUUUUCUUAAAGUUACCAAGGUUUGAUUUGUAGCCCAGGAUGUGAUCAAUCUUAGAGAAUGUUCCAUGUGCAUUUUAGAAGAAUGUAUAUUCUGAUGCUUUUGGAUGGAAUGUCCUAUAAAUAUCUUUUAAGUCCAUCUGGUCUAAUGCUUCAUUCAGGGCCUGUGUUUCCUUAUUUUUUGUCUGGAUGAUCUGUCCAUUGCUGUAAGUGGGGUGUUAAAGUCCCCCACUAUUUUUGCGUUAUUGAUUUGUCCUUUUAAGGUUGUCAGCAGUUGCCUUAUAUAUUGCAGUGAACUUGUGUUGGGUGCAUAGAUAUUUAAAACUGUUAUAUCUUCUUCUUGGAUUAACCCUUUGUUCAUUAUGUAGUGAUCUUCCUUGUCCCUUAAAAUGUUCUCAUUUUAAAGUCUAUUUUGGCUGAUAUGAGUAUUGCUACUCCAGCUUUCAUUUGAUUCCUGUUUGCGUGGAAUAUUUUCUUCCAUCCUCUCACUUUCCAUUUGUAUGUGUCCCUAGAAGUGAAGUGGGUCUCUUGAACACAGCAUAUAUAUGGAUCUUGUUUUUGUAUCCAUUCAGCUAGUCUAUGUCUUUUGAUUGGGGCAUUUAGUCCAUUAACAUUUAAGGUAAUCACGAUAUGUAUGUUCUUAUUGCCUUUUUUUUUUUGGUCUUUUUGCCUUUUCUAGGGCUGCUCCCAUGGCAUAUGGAGGUUCCCAGGCUAGGGGUCUAAUUGGAGCUGUAGCCGCCCGCCUAUGCCAGAGCCACAGCAACGUGGGAUCCGAGCCACCAUCUUCACUAACAAUGCAAUCUCCCCAUCUCCCUAGUCCCUACUUCACAAUUCUACAAGAAGUCUGAAGAGUUAUUCUCUAGGUAUGUUCAACAGACAAGCCUCAUAUUCACCCAUCACAAGCACGACCAGGAACAGAGAUAAAGUACAACACACAGAGCAACAGUGAAACACACAAAAAACUCCUUUCCACUCACUGGGCUCUGUGAAAGCAGGCAAAAAGACUAGUUGAUUCCUCUGAGGGAAAAAUCACUUGCCUAAGACAAAAGACCUACAGAUGCUGGCAAUUGGUGACCCUCACCUAAACAGUCAAUCACCCCUACAGUAAAGCCCACCAACUGACAAGCCCCAUUAAUAAAAACACAGCUUAUUAAAAAAAAAAACAAAAAAACAAAAACAAAAAAAACUGUACUGUUUUGCCUUUAAAUACUAGUGGAUAAUCAAAAAUGGCAAGACAUUUGAUUUAAAAACCCUCUAAUGAGUCUAAACUAAACAAUCAAUGAACUUGUAGCAAAUAGAGACAAUGCAAGGAGCAGAAAAAAAUCAAAAAGAAAAAAUUACCGUAUCAUACAUAUAACAUUGCAUCCAUGGAACAAGAAUAAGAGAUUAUGAAAAAGCAUUCAACAUAUAAGAAGACUGUAGAAAUACACACACACACGCGCACACAUUUACAAACACUACACAUAUAAACACACAAAAAGAAGCUUGAAGAUAAAGUGAAGAAAUCUAGAAAAAAAGACAAAGAGAUUUAAAAACAGUGAAAAAAAUAAAAAAUUGAGAAGAGCAGUAGAAUUGGAGUGAAAUACAACUAGUAUAGUUAUAGAAAAAAAAGAAAAAGAAAAUUUAUUUUUUAAAAAAGAAACCAAAAAAAGUUGAUAUUAAUUUCUAGAUUGAAAUAGUUUUCUGGAACUUAACUACUAGUAGUAGAGAGGAAAAGAAAUCCACACCAAAGCACAUCAGGUAAAAUUAUUAGGCCAUACAUAUUAAAUUAUCAUUUUUGUAGGCCAAAAAAUUGUUAACUAAUAGCAAGUUCUUAUAGUUCAACCUACUAUUUUCAAUCUCGAAUUUAAUAUCUAGACAAACUUUUUGGACUUGUAAGCUUUCAAAAAUCUUAUCUCCCAUACUCCUUUUCUCAGAAAGCUACUCCUAGAGAUUGUGUUCCAGCAUCACAGGGAAUAAACUGAGAAACAGAGCAUCCAGAAAGGCAAGGAUCCAACAGAGAAGGAAAUUCCAUGGACAAAAGCUAUUUAGCUGGCCUAGCGAGCCACCAGUUCAGAUUCAGAGAAAGAGCACUAAAGAAGUAAUGUCUCUAAGGGGGAAAAAAAACCAAAUAUAUUUACACAGAUGAAAGAGAAGAUUUUCAGUUCUACUGAAGAGUUUAGAGAUGAAUUAGUGGUGGACACAGAACUAUCAGCAAACAAACAAACAUAAAACAAAUCCAAGGAAAACAAAAAGUUGUGCAAGAAAGGAAGUGUAAGAGAGGUAGUGUGCAUACAGUCAGGUGGGGAGGAGUAAGAGAAUUAAAUAUCUUUCAUCUUGGAAAAUUAAUAGAUAAUUUAACAAAUUUGAAAUAUUAAAACAAAUAGAAUAAGCAUGUUUUUUCAACUAUGAAAGUUAACAUCCAGAAGAAACAACUAAAAGACUUGAAAACGUUGCCUCUGGGAAGCAAGAACCUAGAGUAGGCUGGCAGCUGUAGCUCUGAGUAGACCCCUAGCCUAGGAAUCUCCAUGUGCCGUGGGUGCGGCGCUUUGAAAAAAAAAAAAAAAAAGAACCUGACUGGUAUCCAUAAGGAUGUGGGUUCGGUCCCUGGCCUCGAUCAAUGGGUUGAGGAUCCAGUGUUGGCACAGGCUGAUGCAUAGGACUGCAGAUGCUGCUCAUAUCUGUCGUGACUGUGGCUGUGGCACAAGCUGGCAGCUGCAGCUCCCAUUUUACUCCUGGCCUGGGAACUUCCAUAUGUCACAGGUGUGGCCCUAAAAAAAAAAAAAAAAAGAAAAAAGAAA
rnacentral:lncRNA from 1 species